rnacentral:misc_RNA from 1 species
GAUGAAGAAGCAGCGAAAUGCGAUAAGUAAUGUGAAUUGCAGAAUUCAGUGAAUCAUCGAAUCUUUGAACGCACAUUGCGCCCGCCAGUAUUCUGGCGGGCAUGCCUGUUCGAGCGUCAUUACAACCCUCAGGCCCCCGGGCCUGGCGUUGGGGAUCGGCGGAGCCCCCCGUGGGCACACGCCGUCCCCCAAAUACAGUGGCGGUCCCGCCGCAGCUUCCAUCGCGUAGUAGCUAACACCUCGCGACUGGAGAGCGGCGCGGCCACGCCGUAAAACACCCAACUCUUCUGAAGUUGACCUCGAAUCAGGUAGGAAUACCCGCUGAACUUAAGCAUAUCAAUAAGCGGAGGA